rnacentral:rRNA from 1 species
GAUCAUGGCUCAGAUUGAACGCUGGCGGCAGGCCUAACACAUGCAAGUCGAGCGGAUGAAGAGAGCUUGCUCUCUGAUUCAGCGGCGGACGGGUGAGUAAUGCCUAGGAAUCUGCCUGAUAGUGGGGGACAACGUUUCGAAAGGAACGCUAAUACCGCAUACGUCCUACGGGAGAAAGCAGGGGACCUUCGGGCCGUUGCGCUAUCAGAUGAGCCUAGGUCGGAUUAG